rnacentral:misc_RNA from 1 species
AUGCGCCGUUGGGAAACGCCCGUUUUCACUUUGGGAACGAGCGCGUACCUAACCGGUCCCACCCGUGUUUAUUUAACUAUUGUUGCCUUGGCGGGCCCGCCGGCUUUGUCGGCCGUCGGGGAACUUUUGUUCCCGGACCCGUGUUCGCCAUUGGAAUACUUGAACUCCAAUGUUUUUUAAUAAUGAUAUUUGUCUGAAUAUUAGUUUUGAAUAAUUA